CGAUUGAACGCUGGCGGAAUGCUUUACACAUGCAAGUCGAACGGCAGCACGGGGCAACCUGGUGGCGAGUGGCGAACGGGUGAGUAAUACAUCGGAACGUGCCCAAUCGUGGGGGAUAACGUAGCGAAAGUUACGCUAAUACCGCAUACGAUCUACGGAUGAAAGCGGGGGAUCGCAAGACCUCGCGCGAAUGGAGCGGCCGAUGUCAGAUUAGGUAGUUGGUGGGGUAAAGGCUCACCAAGCCAACGAUCUGUAGCUGGUCUGAGAGGACGACCAGCCACACUGGAACUGAGACACGGUCCAGACUCCUACGGGAGGCAGCAGUGGGGAAUUUUGGACAAUGGGCGCAAGCCUGAUCCAGCCAUGCCGCGUGAGUGAAGAAGGCCUUCGGGUUGUAAAGCUCUUUCGGCCGGGAAGAAAUCGCUUAGGUUAAUACCCUGAGUGGAUGACGGUACCGGAAUAAGAAGCACCGGCUAACUACGUG
rnacentral:rRNA from 1 species